CUGUUGGGGUGGUGUUGCCUGUAUUUGUAGCUAUUUGCUCUGUGUUCUGUGUGUCGGACAUCUCUCUUCUUUGUGCCGUGUGCACUAUGUGGAUCAUUUGUACUUACUUCAUUUUGUUAUUAGUAAUUUUGUGUUAGUUCAACUUUUUCUUAUAUGUACAAUGUACAUAGUAAUCCUUUAAACAGUGAUAUUUUUCAUCAAUCUGAUACCUGAAGACAGAUAUCACAUGUACAUAUAAGUGUAUUGUGGAAGUGUACUUAACGGCCAACAGCUCAUAAGAAAAUACAAUUCCGCCAUAAUGUGGAAGAAGGAUAUAAUCCGAAAUUUGGAAUUAAAUCAAUCCAUAGCAUUGCCCUGCAGCAGUAAGGAUACAAUUCCCACAAUGUGGAAGAAGGAUAAAAUACGAAAUUGGAAAUCGAAUCAAUCGCCGUUAUUGCUCUGCAGCAAUAAAGAAAAUGUAGGAGAGCAUAGCAAUGCACUGAUAAGAAUUGAGCAAAUAGAGGAACUGAACUUCGAUUCUGUGGAGCAUUCUGACACCAAACAAAAUUACCAAUUGCCGACGCUUCGCAAAACUCGGUCACAAACCAGACAAGGAUCUUCAGAUGCGCGUACGAGUACACCAAAUACCACAAAACAUUCAAAAAUGACGCAGCCAAAGAGUUAUGGAUGCCAUUGGGAAUCGUGCCAGUUCCGCGCUCACGCCAUCAAAGUUUUGAUAAAUCACAAGGCAGGACACGGCAUCCAGCCGGACAGAAAGUUCGCCCAUCGGAAACGGAAGAACAAGGCGAACGCGCAUCUCUACCUGAGCCGCAAAGUCUCUCAACGAACGAGGGUGAAGAAAACGAAGGAAACCAUUAGAAUCAGGCAAGCAGCGGCAGCAGCAGCAGCAGCAGCGGCGGCAGCAGCUGCAGCGGAGGCAGCUCGGCAGUUGCGGCGGAGGCAGCUACAGCGGAGGCAGCUACAGCGGAGGCAGCUACAGCGGAGGCAGCUACAGCGAAGGCAGCCGCAGCAGAGGCAUCUACAGCGAAGGCAGCUGCAGCGGAGGCAGCUACAGCGGAGGCAGCCAUAGAAGCCAUGACCACAUUGAUGCCGCGGAUCCAUUUGUCCGGCUGCGCGGCCAUUACCCAUACAGACGCUGACACUUGCUCAGACAGCAAUCUCUCACUCUCUGAGUGUCUUGCCAACACAAAUUUCCAAACAUCCCUUGUUUUGCAGGAGAAAAAAUCCCACCUUUUACUGAAAAUCUGUAGAGGGAGAAUAUAAAAAGUGAUACAUGUUUUGGACAAAUACUACUUAGCCUCCGCAUAUUUGUCCUCAACCAAUUAAUAUUCUGACUCACACUUACAUGGAACAUUGAGAUAUCAGCUCAAUGGACCGUCCUAGUAACACACAUGUUCACUGUUUCCUAAAGGCUAACAAGCAACAGCCAUGUGAGACAUCAUAAGACCAUUUGAGUGGGUUAUGAAUUAAUAUUCGCGUAAAU